CCCUAGAGGGGGACAACAGUUGGAAACGACUGCUAAUACCGCAUACGAUCUAAUCUCGGCAUCGAGGAUGGAUGAAAGGUGGCCUCUAUUUAUAAGCUAUCACUGAAGGAGGGGGAUUGCGUCUGAUUAGCUAGUUGGAGGGGUAACGGCCCACCAAGGCGAUGAUCAGUAGCCGGUCUGAGAGGAUGAACGGCCACAUUGGGACUGAGACACGGCCCAG
rnacentral:rRNA from 1 species